GAUGAAGAACGUAGCGAAAUUCGAUACGUAAUGUGAAUUGCAGAAUUCAGUGAAUCAUCGAGUCUUUGAACGCACAUUGCGCCCCCUGGUAUUCCGGGGGGCAUGCCUGUCCGAGCGUCAUUGCUGCCCUCAAGCACGGCUUGUGUGUUGGGCCUCCGUCCUCCUCCCGGGGGACGGGCCCGAAAGGCAGCGGCGGCACCGCGUCCGGUCCUCGAGCGUAUGGGGCUUCGUCACCCGCUCUUGUAGGCCCGGCCGGCGCUUGCCGACACAUCAAUCUUUUUUCCAGGUUGACCUCGGAUCAGGUAGGGAUACCCGCUGAACUUAAGCAUAUCAAUAAGCGGAGGA
rnacentral:misc_RNA from 1 species